rnacentral:rRNA from 1 species
GACAGAGGGUGCAAACGUUGCUCGGAAUUACUGGGCGCAAAGCGCGUGUAGGCGGACUGGAAAGUCGGGCGUGAAAUCCCCAGGCUCAACCUGGGAACUGCACUCGAAACUUCCAGCCUAGAGUGGUGGAGAGGGAAGUGGAAUUCCUGGUGUAGAGGUGAAAUUCGUAGAUAUUCGCAAGAACACCAGUGGCGAAGGCGGCUCACUGGCCCGGUACUGACGCUGAGGUGCGAAAGCGUGGGGAGCAAACAGG